rnacentral:lncRNA from 1 species
UGACCCUUUGUGUUGGUGUUUCCUUCAUUUGGGCAGUUACCUGUAGAUGUGGCCUAUGCAGGAAUCAAACUCAUAAUAGGGAUAUUGCUGCAAACAACUGGUGUACCUGGCAUUGGUGUGUACAUUGACCUAUUGGAGAACACACACACACACACACAAACACACUUCACUGUUGGAAGGCGUAUGAAAAUCAGGGUCAUGACUGACUCAACAAAAAUGUCUAAAGGUGAAAAAUUCGAAUGGUUCUCUCUGCCUCUCGCACUUAUCCUCCACUCUUCUCCUCCACUCUUAUCCUCCACUCUUCUCCUUUUCACUUCUUUCUUUCUUUUCUUCUUCUCUCAUUCUUUUUUUGUGCCUGUCUUUGAAGUGAGGAAGUUUGCAGAAAACCUCUCAGAAGAAAAGCAGCAAACGCCAAAGAUGAAGAGAAGGCUUUAUGGAUAGAGAAACAGAGAAUGGGGAGAAAGGAGAGCGAGGAGUUUAGACUUCUGCACUGUUUCCUCUCUCUUCAGUCUGUCUGUCGUUUUUUUUGAAGCGCAUUGUCUCUCUUCUCUUCUUCUCUCCCCUGUUUUUCUCAAGCUGGUCAUCUCCAGAAUGAAUAGAAGGCUUGUACUUACAGUCCUGGCCCUGAAUGUUGUAACCAAUGAAAUCAAGGUAUCCACCUCCCAACCUCUCACACCAUCCAACUCCACUCCUGCUACCUUCAUUCCCCCUGCUCCCACCACUUCCUGUGUGUGUAAAGUCUCCACUUCCUGUUCCUCUCCGACCCAGCCCGAGUCUCCGCCACCUGCGCUGGGUGUUAUCAAGGUCAAAUGGGAAGAAAAGUCCUGUAAGGGGGACGUACACCUGUCUCUCCUCUCGUCCCAUUCCUUGCCAGUUUGCUUUAACAGUCUUACCCAUCGUAGUCUUCAUCGCGCAGGGCUGUGUAAGAGGAAGGGCUGCGAGGGCUCCCCAACAUGGACUAAGAUCAAUCCUAAAGCUUUGGGUUACCAGAUCAGUACGAAUGGAAGUGUUGCCAACAACCCCUGUACAACACUGGGGAUCCAAUGCGAAGUCGUCUCAGAUCAGUUAGUGGGCUAUAAGGUGGUGACUGGUCUGCUGUGUGUUCUGGUGCUGGUGGUGCUGAUGGUGCGUUUCGGGCAGCCCUCCUUCAAGGCCCUCCGUAGGAGACUGUCAGACAAGAGGCAGAGUCGGUGGAUCGGACCUACACAGAGCCAAAGUGUCUCCUACCAUAGAGGGAAGGCUGGACUCCAACUUAACGACAACACAGACAAGAGACACUCCUACCCUGGAUUGGAGAGGCUGACGGUGAACACCAGCCGAGAGCCUUCGUCUAACAGAAACAGUGAUUACGACUCUUAUAACUUGUGA